rnacentral:sRNA from 1 species
CUGCCCCGGGAACUGCAGAAGAUGCAAGGAGGCCGGCAGUUUGCCAGCGACUAUUGGUUUUCCUUUUCUUCUUCUCCUUGAUGGGCCUGCUCUCGUCACAUCUGACCUCAAAUAGCGCCACAGACCCACUGAAGGCUUUCCACAUUUGUGCAGCAAUCCUCGAGUGUUUAGAGAAGAGGAAGAUAUCCUGGCUGGCACUCUUCCAGUUGACAGAGAGUGGUAAGAAACACGCUGCUGAGGCGCAAAUGCGGAGGGCCGCUCUUUUCAGAGGCAACUUUCAAAUGGUUAAGAACGAGCCCUCCUUUGAGGUUCACUAAUUCAUUUCUAUGAGUUUAUGCUCUUGCUAAGUUGAUAAGCUCCAUUUUAGUUGGGACAGAUUAAGUACAAACUUGUUUAAAGCAAUAAGAUAAUUUAUUGGCUCACGGGUCAACCCCAGGACCAAUGGGCCUAUCGUGGGGACUGCCUCUGUCUGUACCACACCCACCCUAGUGCGAGAGGGCGACCCCCCCAUCCUCUCCCAGCUGCUGACAGGUACCCGGGUAUCCUCAGCUCAGGCUGUUCGCCCCAUACUAUCCCCACAGCCAGACCUCCCAGGGUACACGUCCCGACCCCCAGGGGUGUCCCUAGCACUGAUAAUAAACAGAGAUGUCCAGAGUUGCCUGAGCUGCCUCUUGGUGUUGCAGACCUCAUGCUGGGGCGGCUCCUCCUCCGCGUGGCCCCGGAUCAGCACACCAGGCUGCUGCCUUUCGCUUUCUACAGGUACCUUCACCCACAGGGCUUGUCAGGGCUGGGGCAGUGUUUCCCAGACCCCCAUCUUAGCACCUCUGGGUCCCGCCAGAUGGGAAGGGUUGCCUGUGCCUCUGCUCCACAGAUGA